rnacentral:rRNA from 1 species
AGAAUCAACGCUGGCGGCGUGCCUAACACAUGCAAGUCGAACGCGAAAGUCCCGCAAGGGAUAAGUAGAGUGGCAAACGGGUGAGUAACACGUGGGUGACCUGCCUUCGAGCGGGGGAUAACGUCCCGAAAGGGACGCUAAUACCGCAUGACAUCCUGCCUUUGAAGAGGUGGAGAUCAAAGCCGGGGAUCGCAAGACCUGGCACUUGAAGAGGGGCCCGCGCCUGAUUAGCUAGUUGGUGGGGUAAUGGCUCACCAAGGCAACGAUCAGUA